rnacentral:lncRNA from 1 species
GGGAAAUAAUCAGAUAUGUAGACUUAUAGAUGUGUAGAUAUAUGUAUAAAAACUGCUCAUUGUAAUAAUUUUUGUAAUAGCGAAAAAAUUGACAGCAGCCUACACGUCUAAUAAGGAAAUUGAUAAAUAAAUGAUGGUUCAUCAAUAUAAUGGAGUAUUACACAGCCAUUUAAACUAUGUUUUCAAAAAUUUUAAUGGCAUGGGAAAAUGUAGAGUAUAAAAGUUUGAAUACAGAAUGUUCCAAAUUAGGUAAACAGAGACAUAGAUUAAAGAAGGUUAAAAUGAAAUAGACCAAAAUAUUAAAAGCAGUUAUCUCUGGAUGACAGGAUUAUGGGUAAAUUUAUACUUGUAUAUAUUUCCCAACUUUUUAAAUUGAACACAUAUAACUUUAAUAAUUAUGUGUUCGACUCACUCCCGUGUUAUACCAGAGUUCUAGCAGGAAGUGGGUUAGCUCGUACAUGGACUUUAGCUCUCAACUCCGUGUGCUAGAUGUCAGGAAGAAUGCAUGCAGCGCAAGUGAUCCCAUUGGGGGUAUGAUACGUACAGAGAUGAACAAUCUGGAAAAAUUAAUCAAGGCACUAUAGGAUUAUGAUCAGCAUAAAGCCUUCCACAUAGUGAGUACUCCAUAAACUAUUUAAUUUAACUUUAGUAACAGAUGAGCAGAACGAGUGGUAGAUGCUACUGGAAUCAGAUGGACGAGAAUCCUGUGGCCUAGAGACGAGAACAGAACACAGUCAGGGAAGGCCUUGAGAGGGGCUGGUCCUUGCAUUGCAGCUCAAAGCGGGGGCUAAGUGUGCACAUGUGGAGGACGGGAGAGAGAGGAUCUGUGGUAGAUAAAAGCAUCUCUCGUGGGCACCCCGGAGGAAUGGCCCAUGGCCUCAUUAGCCUGGCAGUUUCUACAUGCUCAUUUCAAGCCUUAGAAGUCUUAGAGCCUUCCUCAAGAUUCCUCUUUUUCCCGGAGGCACGGGACUGUUGCAUUAUCAGCAAGUAGCAAUUGCUGCACAAGGUGAGGUGAUGGCCUCUGCAUGUCCCUGCAGGUCAGGAUUUAAUCUGAGUGCUGAUCACAGAGGAGCCUGAGGAAGCAGCCUGACUGAAUCCUCUUCUCGGCGCCACACUUCACAGUGCAGACAGCACUUCUCCAGUCUCUCAAUCUCCCACCACCCUGUGCGGUGUUCUCAGGUGACAGUUAAGGUGACGGAGGCUCACUGAAGUGAGGACAGGUUUAAGUUCAGAACUGGCUAGUGAUAAAACCAGGGCUUCAGUUUGGUCUAGCACUUUCCCCCUUGACUGCAGGAUGAAGUUGUGACACGUUCCCGGAGAAAUGCUCUUCCUCAGACACUAUUGACUAUCUCUUCCCUUUGCAUUCAAACAAACGAACAAACCCUUCCAACGCUUGGCCACAUCUCCUCUGUGUCUCGAAGUCCUCAG